UUAGAGCUGUCAAUCACCCUGGUGAAUGUUAGAUUGUGAUAAAGAAAAAAUUGCAUUAUUAUGUUAUGAAAUGCAAUCGUUUUGCAUCAAAACUGUAUCUAAUAGACAGUUAUUGUUGUUUUAUGACGUUAAAAUAAGCGAAUGUUGUAAAAAAAAAAAAAUUGUUUAAUUUGCACAGUGGUAUUAAAUUACUGGCUGUAAACCUUUAUCACAUUUAAAAUGAGCAAAAUUAUGACAUUAUUAGCUAUUAUUGCAGCCCUGAGUUGAUGGAGAUGUUGCAGGAUGACUGACUCUGCGCUGCAGAUUUUUGUAAACAUGACAACCGGGUGAGAUCAUCGGUCCGGCAGCGUUCGCCUCACGUCUCCCCUGGACGGAGCGGGUUGGGUUUGCCGUCAGGUUUCUGUUCUCCAGGUGGCGUCCCAGCUGGCGCCGUGUUCAUCAGGAUGUCGUAACUCCAGGUACCGCUCACCCCAUCGCUCACAGGUCGCAACACUGAGAACACGCCCACGCUGCCGCAACAUUCAGCUCAUUUAUUGUGCAUGUAAACCUUUAUGAGAUCAGUGAAAUCUGUUACUACCUGUCCUCUAAAGAAAACGCAUCCUGUCUUCAUUCUGGGGUUUUAGAUUAUUUCCUUUUUAUUGGGUUUUAACAUUUUUAUUCACAUAAACUGCUAGUUAAAGCUACUCAAUUAACUGCUGUUGUAACCAUGACAACAGGAAAAGCAACUGUUGCUGCUCAACAAUCUGGGAAGGGUUCAAGAAAUUUAAAGACCUGAGUGAAUUUGCUUCAAAUCAAACAAAAUUGGUGUCAAACAUUUAAAAAUAUUAAUAAAUGUUUCCAAAGGUCGACCAGCCGCCCCACAUUUACAAAAUCAAUCAAAAUCAACUCUGCUGCAAAAACCCUUAAAUGCACAAUUAAUUCAUAUCAAUUUAGUUUGAUUUUGUUAAUGUGAGGGCUGAUCUUUGGCAAAGGCAAAGUACACAAAAGCUGUAGUAAACAAUAGUAGCUCUACUUCAAUGUAUUUUCACUCAACUAAACAUAAAAAGUUCUAAAAGUCAGUCAAAUAAAGUUCAACAUCUGUGAAGUUUUGGUUAUCGACUGUGUAGAUUUCUUCUAGUAAUUAUACGUUUGUACUGAUGCUCUUAUUUUGAAGUGGACGGAGGCCGUUUACGCAUCAGUUCCUCACGUUCCACAAUGAGCUCUUUGCAGGUUAGCUUCCGCGUUUGGGACAAAGCGGCUCAGUCGUUUCCGGUUUAUUGAAAAUGGCAUUUUACACUCGGUGCUUGCAGGGCCUGGCCAAGGUAACAAUGAAUGAUGAACAUCGAUCCGAAGCCCCAACCAGUAGCUGGAGAAAGGUUGAAAGAUGUUCACCUUGUUAUACAUUCACAGAUACAAAGCUCAGUGAAGUUUCCAGAUGAGGAUCUUGGUGAACCUGAACGUGUUGGAGGCUGAUAGCAGUUUCGCCGCAGGACGCAUUAACUGCAGCGAGGACAUAACCCAGGGCGCAGCGUCUCCACCACCGGCUGGGAGGAAAAAGUUUCAGCUUCACUGAAAUGAGGGAAAGUUCACUUUUUACAAAGUCCUGGAUUCAGCUGGAAGACGUUAAAACUGAAGUUACAUCACAACCUGAGUCAUCACCAUGACAGCAGCUUUACGCCACGACUGCAUCGCUACAGAGCGGAAAAAUAACAGCAAGAUUUUGGUUUAUCAGGGAAAAAAACCUGAAUGUUCAUUUUUCUAAGUCAUAUUUUCACCAUGUUAUUCAUACAUUUAUAAAUGUCCAAACAAAAUGUUUAGUUCGAAAGCUAAGUACUUAGUUUAAAAAAUAAUUAGUUUAGAAACUAAAGAUUUAUGUCCAAAUUAAAUAGUUAGUUCCAAGUAAACAUGCCAUUCCCAAAAAAACAUUUCUAAACUAAACAUUAGCUUAAUGUUUAGCUUGGCAACAAAAUAGUUAUAUUCAAGCUAAAUAUUUAGCUAAUAUCUAAAUUAACGUGCUGAUAAGCGGAAGUGGAUUAUCAAAAUAAAAGCGGGAUUUUGCAGACUGCUAUUUAAACUCUGCUGUUGACUAAUUUUCAUAUUACCUAAUUAUAGAUGUUUGAGUGAAAUGUUUUUUGGAAAUUAUAUGUUUAGUUUAAAUAAAUAUUUGGAACUAAACAUACAUAUUUAGUAUGAAAUAUCUAGGUAUUUAGCUAAGAAACUAAAUAUUUAAUUUGGAGCUAAACAUUUCGUUUGCAAGUUAUUUUUUUAAUGCAGGUCGUCUCAUUGAGAUCCAAGAUCUCCUUAACAAGAAAAACAAAAUGACAAACACUGUAAAUAUUUAGUUUUAUUUUAGUUUUAUUUAUACUUGGCCUCCCAACUCAAUAUUUAUCUAGGAAGUUUGUGAAUUAAAUGUUUAGUUUUAAACUAUGACAUUUAUAAAUGUAUGAAUAACCAGGUGACAAUAUAACUUAUAAUAGGAUAAACAAACCAAAAUAUUGCUGUUUAUUUUUUACAGUGUAACACUACAAAUGCAGUUUAUCCACCCAGAAUGUCUAAGAGUUUUUAAAUAAAAGGUCAUUUAAAAAUGGGGACGGAUAAAUAUUCUACAGUCCCAAAGCCAAUCGGGUCAAAAACGUCCAGAACCAAUAAGGUUUGUUCUGUAAAUAGGAUUCACCUUUGACCUUUCAACUGUCAAGUUAAAAUGUUUAGUCUCUGCUAAGCAGCUGCUACUUGAUAACCAGUGGGGGAAAAUGAUGAAUAAGGUUUUAUGUCCCACUUCCUGUGUGGUUAAAAUGUUAAGUAAAGCUAAAUAUAAAACUAAAAGUCUGGUUUGGGCCUCGGUGAGUCCCGCCUCCACCAGCUGUCAGGUUUCACGGUGAGCAGAGAGGAUCUGCGGUCCUCUGGCGAUUUCCUGCAUCACGCUUCGUCUCACCUCAUGUAAACUUCUCUCAGCUUAAUAAACAAACAAACCCGACGCCUCA